AGCGAACGCUGGCGGCAGGCCUAACACAUGCAAGUCGAACGAACCCUUCGGGGUUAGUGGCGGACGGGUGAGUAACACGUGGGAACGUGCCUUUAGGUUCGGAAUAACUCAGGGAGACUUGUGCUAAUACCGAAUGUGCCCUUCGGGGGAAAGAUUUAUCGCCUUUAGAGCGGCCCGCGUCUGAUUAGCUAGUUGGUGAGGUAAUGGCUCACCAAGGCUACGAUCAGUAGCUGGUCUGAGAGGAUGACAAGCCACAUUGGGACUGAGACACGGCCCAAACUCCUACGGGAGGCAGCAGUGGGGAAUCUUGCGCAAUGGGCGAAAGCCUGACGCAGCCAUGCCGCGUGGAUGAUGAAGGUCUUAGGAUUGUAAAAUCCUUUCACCGGUGAAGAUAAUGACUGUAGCCGGAGAAGAAGCCCCGGCUAACUUCGUGCCAGCCGCCGCAGUAAUAC
rnacentral:rRNA from 1 species